UUGCUGUCGUUUCUGUAGUUAUUUCGCGAACCUGUUUGCAGCGUGAUGUGCCUCCGGCUAGCCUGAUAUUCAUACCCGGUUGCGGUAGUUUAAGUGAAAGAAAACCGUGAACGUUCUGGAAUUUCUAGUUAUUUUCAGAAAUAUUUGAAAUUUAAAAGUGUUUAAAGUUCUUCGUAUCUUCUAUAAACAUCACAGUGUUGUUCGGAACCAAAUUAACAUUUCUGGAGUUCGAGGUUAUUAAAGCAUUGGUUCAAAAAUUGAAAUUCGUUCUAAAAAAAAUGUAAUAGCAUGUAAUGGUAAAAACAAUUUAUUUAAUAUUUUUUGAUAUAGUAAUAGAAGGUUUAGAAUCCCUUGGAAAGUGGGCCCGAGGGCUGCAGUCCCCUGACUUCCUCUCGAUCCAGCACUGGUAUUUUUCUGUUUUUUCAUAAUAUAAAAAUACAUACUUAGAAUAGAUGUAUUUAGAGAGAGAAGCCUGUUUUAUGCAGUUUGAAAAUAAAUUUUCUUUUCAGAAAUAAAACACUUUUCUAAAGCACACUUCAAGAAAUUUAACUAUUUUCAAUAUUUGAAAUUUUUACAUGAUCAUUAAAGAAUGCCAAAUUAAACCAAUAUUUUUAGAGCAGUUUUAACCUUUAGCUGGCACACUGGAUCAGAAUAAUAUGGCGGAGCACACUAGGACGUUUAAGAGCCCAACCACUAAAAUAUUUCCUGCAAAGAAGCUAUUCAUUAUUUUAAUUUGAAAAAAUUCUUAGAUAAUCUUUGAAAGUUGUUUAAACAUAUUCCACAGUUAAUUUUAGUAAAAUUAAAUACUAAAUAUAAAAAAAAAAUUAAAAAACGUAGCAAAAUCGAAGAAAUGAGUUUUCACAAAACAUUCAUAACUUUUUCAAAUUUUCGUAUAAAGAGCUAAAACUCUAGCUGGACACUUGAAAUUGAACAUUUUAAGGGAAAAAAUCGUACAAACGAUGUGAAUUCAAAAAAGGUAUUUAUUUGGAAAAUUGAAGGGACGAAUUUCAGCCAAAAAUGGCUUAACACGUUGGCGUUCUUGCCCAGGACGCCAGCCAGGGCCGGCGUGACCUUUUGCGGGGCCCGGUUCCAAAAUUUUGCGGGGCCAGAAUACAAUAUGUUAGUUUCGACAGUUUUUCGAAAAUAUCUCGAAAACUAAGGCCGAGCGGUAGUUAUAUGUAUAGGAAAAAGUUGUUCAAAAUAUUGAUUCGCGAUUCAAGAUUCAUGUCAGUGUGCAGCAAGUUGUCAUCGAUUAGUGGAUUAUGCGAUUGCAUUUUCCACACACAGCCGAAUAUUCAAUCUACUAUACAAGGGCUCCUGCAAAAUGUCUGAUGAGUUUUCGUAGACCGCGGGGCCUUUCAAAACGCGGGGCCGGGUUCCAGCGAACGCGCUGAACCUGCCUCGCGCCGGCCCUGACGCCAGCGACAAGACAUCUCGUUCCUUUCUUUACUUGCCGUAUUUGUUUCUGCGCGGGCAUUGUUUCGUAGUUGGCUUCCGCGAAGAUCUUUUUCUUUUAGACCAGGCCCUCCAAGCUCCACUCUUGUGAAUUUGAUGCAAAUUUUAACUCGGCGCAGAAAAUCCAGGUGGCGCUGAUGUCGCUUUUCUACACGCAUACCUUGUAUCACUGAUUUGAACAUACACAACUAAAGAUAUCGUGACGUCAUGUCGCCUCGUUUUUCAAUUGUUUCAAAAUUUAAAGAGACUGAAGAAAUAUGGCGCACAGUGAGUGACAGAAUAUUCAGAAAGAGGAAGGAAAUAUGCAGCAUCAGAGGGUGUAUUAACGAAAACAGCAGGAUGUUCUUCUUCCCCCAAGAGAGAAAGAAUAAGAAGAGGAUGGCGCAGUGGGUGAAAAGGCUGUAAUAAAUAUUCCAUGGCAGAAGCUGCCUCUAUUAAAAUAGAGCAACAAGAUACAUGGAUUCAAAUGAAAAGAAGAAGAAGAAGAAGAAGAUUGUAAGUAUUCAGUUCACAUGGUAUUAAGUAUAAUCUGCGAGCAGAGUGUGUGUUUUAUUGUAUGUAUGAUUGUGAUUAAUUGUAUAUUACUAUUGAUAUAUAUAUAUAUAUGUAUAUAUAUUGUUAGAAACUAGACACACUUAAGGCUUAAUAUAUAUGUUUAUUAAAUACUAAAUUAAAUACCAUAAAUGAAAG